rnacentral:rRNA from 1 species
CAGUAGCCGCGGUAACACGGAGGGGGCUAGCGUUGUUCGGAAUUACUGGGCGUAAAGCGCACGUAGGCGGCUUUGUAAGUCAGAGGUGAAAGCCUGGAGCUCAACUCCAGAAUUGCCUUUGAGACUGCAUCGCUUGAACGUCGGAGAGGUGAGUGGAAUUCCGAGUGUAGAGGUGAAAUUCGUAGAUAUUCGGAAGAACACCAGUGGCGAAGGCGGCUCACUGGACGACUGUUGACGCUGAGGUGCGAAAGCGUGGGGAGCAAACAGGAUUAGAGACCCCCGUAGUCCCUGUCUCUUAUAC